GGGCUAAUCACAAUGAUUUCUCAUAGGAGAGCACUGGAUUGGCUGAGACUGUCAAUUAUGCAGAUCAGGGGCAGAGUCAGCACAAGCCAAACAUAGCCCUGGCCAAUCAGCAUCUCCUCAUAGAGAUGUAUUGCAUCAAUGCAUCUCUAUGAGAAAAGUUCAGCGUCUGCAUGCAGAGGGUGGAGACACUAAAUGUCAGUGCUGCUCACUGUGCAGCACUGCCCCAGGAAGC